rnacentral:lncRNA from 1 species
CCCGCAUCCGGAAAUGUAAUCGUGUCCAUUUCCCGCACCGUUUUUUAGCUCACCUGGCCCGAAGGGCCAAGUGAGCUUUUCCCAUCACUUGGCGUCCGGCGUCCGUCGUCCGUCGUCGUCCGUCGUCGUCGUCGUCCGUCGUCCGUCGUCGUCCGUCGUCGUUAACUUUUACAAAAAUCUUCUCCUCUGAAACUACUGGGCCAAAUUAAACCAAACUUGGCCACAAUCAUCAUUGGGGUAUCUAGUUUAAAAAAUGUGUGGCGUGACCCGGCCAACCAACCAAGAUGGCCGCCAUGGCUAAAAAUAGAACAUAGGGGUAAAAUGCAGUUUUUGGCUUAUAACUCAAAAACCAAAGCAUUUAGAAUAAAUCUGACAGGGUUAAAAUUGUUUAUCAGGUCAAGAUCUAUCUGCCCUCAAAUUUUCAGAUGAAUCGGACAACCCGUUAUUGGAUUGCUGCCCCUGAACUGGUAAUUUUAGGGAAUUUUUGCUGUUUUUGGCUAUUAUCUUGAAUAUUAUUAUAGAUAGAGAUAAACUGUAAACAGCAAUAAUGUUCAGCAAAGUAAGAUUUACAAAUAAGUCAACAUGACCAAAAUGGUCAGUUGACCCCUUUAGGAGUUAUUGACCUUUAUAGUCAAUUUUUAACCAUUUUUCGUAAAUCUUAGUAAUCUUUUACAAAAAUCUUCUCCUCUAAAACUACUGGGACAAAUUAAUCCAAACUUGGCCACAAUCAUCUUUGGGAUAUCUAGUUUAAAAAAUGUGUGUCGUGACCCGGCCAACCAACCAAGAUGGCCGCCAUGGCUAAAAUAGAACAUAGGGGUAAAAUGCAGUUUUUGGCUUAUAACUCAAAAACCAAAGCAUUUAGAGCAAAUCUGACAGCGGUAAAAGUGUUUAUCAGGUCAAGAUCUAUCUGUCCUGAAAUUUUCAGAUGAAUUGGACAACCUGUUGUUGGGUAGCUGCCCCUGAAUUGGUAAUUUUAAGGAAAUUUUGCUGUUUUUGGUUAUUAUCUUGAAUAUUAUUAUAGAUAGAGAUAAACUGUAAACAGCAAUAAUGUUCAGCAAAGUAAGAUUUACAAAUAAGUCAACAUGACCAAAAUGGUCAGUUGACCCCUGAAGGAGUUAUUGCCCUUUAUAGUCAAUUUUUAACCAUUUUUUCGUAAAUCUUAGUAAUCUUUUACAAAAAUCUUCUUCUCUGAAACUACUGGGCCAAAUUAAACUAAACUUGGCCACAAUCAUCAUUGGGGUAACUUGUUUAAAAAAUGUGUGGUGUGACCUGGCCAAUCAACCAAAAUGGCUGCCACGGCUAAUAAUAGAACAUAGGGGUAAAAUGCAGUUUUUGGCUUAUAACUCAAAAACUGAAGCAUUAAGAGAAAAUCUGACAGGGUUUAAUUGUUUAUCAGGUCAAGAUCUAUCUGCCC